UCUCCGUAGGUGAACCUGCGGAGGGAUCAUUACUGAGUGAGGGCUCACGCCCGACCUCCAACCCUUUGUGAACACAACUUGUUGCUUCGGGGGCGACCCUGCCGUUUCGACGGCGAGCGCCCCCGAAGGUCUCCAAACACUGCAUCUUUGCGUCGGAGUUUAAAACAAAUUAAACAAAACUUUCAACAACGGAUCUCUUGGUUCUGGCAUCGAUGAAGAACGCAGC
rnacentral:misc_RNA from 1 species